rnacentral:misc_RNA from 1 species
AUCAGGGAAGGGGUUGGUUGGUGGCACAGAAGCUAAAAGAGCUAGAGAUGAUGGAUAUUAGCAAUGUGGAUCAUGUCCUGGACGUAGAAGAGGUUCGCCAUUAUUAUUCUCGCCUGACUUGCCCUGCCUAUCUGGACAUUGUAGACAAGUUCUUCAUGGACAUGUACGCAGAAUUCUUUGGUCCACCUAGAUCCCCACGCAGUGUGAAUUCCAGGCAAAUUAGGCUGCCUUCACAGAGAUCAUAGACUUUUCUCCUUUCAUGGAGAGCAACUGGGAAUUUCUGAUAAUAUUUCAG